AAAAGUGAAAGACGGUCUUGCUGUCACUUAUAGAUGGAUCCGCGCUGCAUUAGCUAGUUGGUAAGGUAACGGCUUACCAAGGCAACGAUGCAUAGCCGACCUGAGAGGGUGAUCGGCCACACUGGAACUGAGACACGGUCCAGACUCCUACGGGAGGCAGCAGUAGGGAAUCUUCCGCAAUGGGCGAAAGCCUGACGGAGCAACGCCGCGUGAGUGAUGAAGGUCUUCGGAUCGUAAAACUCUGUUAUUAGGGAAGAACAUAUGUGUAAGUAACUGUGCACAUCUUGACGGUACCUAAUCAGAAAGCCACGGCUAACUACGUGCCAGCAGCCGCGGUAAUACGUAGGUGGCAAGCGUUAUCCGGAAUUAUUGGGCGUAAAGCGCGCGUAGGCGGUUUUUUAAGUCUGAUGUGAAAGCCCACGGCUCAACCGUGGAGGGUCAUUGGAAACUGGAAAACUUGAGUGCAGAAGAGGAAAGUGGAAUUCCAUGUGUAGCGGUGAAAUGCGCAGAGAUAUGGAGGAACACCAGUGGCGAAGGCGACUUUCUGGUCUGUAACUGACGCUGAUGUGCGAAAGCGUGGGGAUCAAACAGG
rnacentral:rRNA from 1 species